GUCAGGAUGGCCGAGUGGUCUAAGGCGCUGCGUUCAGGUCGCAGUCCACUUCUUUGGGCGUGGGUUCGAAUCCCACUUUGACA
rnacentral:tRNA from 1 species